rnacentral:rRNA from 1 species
AUUCCAGCUCCAAUAGCGUAUAUUAAAGUUGUUGCAGUUAAAAAGCUCGUAGUUGAACUUCUUGGCAUCCUUUAAGCUGGCUUCGGUCGUUUCAAGGGUGUCAAUCCGCUAGGGAACUACAUUCGCACUUCACUGUGCGGUGUAAGGAACUGGCAUUUUACUUAGAAAAAAUUAGAGUGUUCAAGGCAGGCUAUCGCCCUGAAUACACAAGCUUGGAAUAAUGAAAUAGGACUAUUUCCAUUUUAUUGGUUAUUGGAUUUAGUAAUGAUUAAUAGGGACAGUUGGGGGCAUUUGUAUUUAAUAGUCAGAGGUGAAAUUCUUGGAUUUAUUAAAGACAAACUUAUGCGUAAGCAUUUGCCAAGGAUGUUUUCAUUG